rnacentral:rRNA from 1 species
UAAUACGGAGGGUGCAAGCGUUAAUCGGAAUUACUGGGCGUAAAGCGCACGCAGGCGGUUUGUUAAGUCAGAUGUGAAAUCCCCGGGCUCAACCUGGGAACUGCAUUUGAAACUGGCAAGCUAGAGUCUCGUAGAGGGGGGUAGAAUUCCAGGUGUAGCGGUGAAAUGCGUAGAGAUCUGGAGGAAUACCGGUGGCGAAGGCGGCCCCCUGGACGAAGACUGACGCUCAGGUGCGAAAGCGUGGGGAGCAAACAGGAUUAGAUACCCUGGUAGUCCACGCUGUAAACGAUGUCGAUUUGGAGGUUGUGCCCUUGAGGCGUGGCGUUCCGGAGCUAACGCGUUAAAUCGACCGCCUGGGGAGUACGGCCGCAAGGUUA